AGCGAACGCUGGCGGCGUGCUUAACACAUGCAAGUCGAGUGAAGGGAAUUCCUGUAGCAAUACAGGGGUUUUUAUUCACGGCGCACGGGUGCGUAACACGUGGGUAAUCUGCCCAGGACACAGGAAUAACCAGUGGAAACGCUGGCUAAUGCCUGAUGAUGUGCCAACCCCUCGGGGGAGGUACCAAAGGUAGCUUCGGCCUCCGGUCUUGGAUGAGCCCGCGGCCCAUUAGCUUGUUGGCGGGGUAACGGCCCACCAAGGCGACGAUGGGUAGCUGGUCUGAGGGGACGAUCAGCCACACUGGGACUGAAACACGGCCCAGACGCCGACGGGAGGCAGCAGUGGGGAAUCUUGCGCAAUGGGCGAAAGCCUGACGCAGCAACGCCGCGUGCGGGAAGAAGGUCUUAGGGUUGUAAACCGCUUUCAGUAGGGACGAAGGCAAACAGGUUAAUAGCCUGUGCGUUGACGGUACCUACAGAAGAAGGUCCGGCUAACUACGUGCCAGCCGCCGCGGUAAAAC
rnacentral:rRNA from 1 species